rnacentral:rRNA from 1 species
GGGGAAUAUUGGACAAUGGGGGAAACCCUGAUCCAGCGACGCCGCGUGUGUGAAGAAGGCCUGCGGGUUGUAAAGCACUUUUAGUGGGGACAAAAAGUCACGGGCUAAUACCUUGUGAUCUUGAUUUAACUCACAGAAAAAGCACCGGCUAACUCUGUGCCAGCAGCCGCGGUAAUACAGAGGGUGCGAGCGUUAAUCGGAAUUACUGGGCGUAAAGCGCGCGUAGACGGUUUUGUAAGUCAGAUGUGAAAUCCCCGGGCUCAACCUGGGAACUGCAUUUGAAACUGCAUGGCUAGAGUAUGGUAGAGGGAAGUGGAAUUUCCGGUGUAGUGGUGAAAUGCGUAGAUAUCGGAAGGAACACCAGUGGCGAAAGCGACUUCCUGGGCCAAUACUGACGUUCAUGUGCGAAAGCGUGGGGAGCAAACAGGAUUAGAUCCCCUGGUAGUCCACGCCAUAAACGAUGACAACUAGAUGUUGGGGGGGUCUGCCUCCCGGUGUCGCAGCUAACGCGUUAAGUUGUCCGCCUGGGGAGUACGGCCGCAAGGUUG